rnacentral:tRNA from 1 species
GGGGCGCUUGACAGAGUGGCCGAAUGUGAGGAGCCGCCGCAAGGACGUCCUCUGGCGCCCGCAAGGGAGAGUCCACAAGGGUUCGAAUCCCUUACGCCCCA